rnacentral:sRNA from 1 species
CACACGCAGGUAUCUGGGGCUGCUUUUAAGCCUCACUCCGGUGUCUUAAAAGACCGUGAGCCUGCGGAGGAUUAACCGGAAAAUAAAGGAAAUUU